UACGUAGGGUGCAAGCGUUGUCCGGAAUUAUUGGGCGUAAAGAGCUCGUAGGCGGUUUGUUGCGUCGGCUGUGAAAUCCCGAGGCUCAACCUCGGGUCUGCAGUCGAUACGAGCAAACUAGAGUGUUGCAGGGGAGACUGGAAUUCCUGGUGUAGCGGUGAAAUGCGUAGAUAUCGAGAGGAACACCUGCGGCGAAGGCGGGUUGCUGGGCUGACACUGACGCUGAUGCGCGAAAGCUAGGGGAGCGAACGGG
rnacentral:rRNA from 1 species